CUUAAUCCUCAAGGGUGUGAAAUAAGCAUAAUCGGAUACCGUUUAAUUGGCGGAGUGUUGAAUGGAUUCACGAGUGCAAAGCUGUCUUGAACUGAAUUUAAAAUAAACUAGAUUUAUAAGUGAAGAAGCUUAUUAAAUUAAUAAGACGAAAAGACCCCGUGAAGCUUAACUAUAUUUUACCUCUUAUUUAAAUUAAAGUAAGUCGAUUAUAUUUAUUUAUAUUUAUUAGCUUAUGAUUUAAUUUUUCAAAGGUAUUUUGGUAGUUUUGAUGGGGUGUCAGCACGUUAAAAUCAACAUGGAGUUAAUGAAUAUAAUAUUCUAAAGCUAGUGUAAUUAACAUAUUUACACAGAAAAAUAUUUUGAUAAAAUGACCCGCCUAUAUUGAUAAUGUAUAGACGACAAAGAAUGAUAGCUACUCCGGGGAUAACAGG
rnacentral:rRNA from 1 species